rnacentral:rRNA from 1 species
AGAGUUUGAUCCUGGCUCAGAGUGAACGCUGGCGGCGUGCCUAACACAUGCAAGUCGAACGAGAACGGGUUACAGUUUACUGUAACUGUCAGCUAAGUGGCGCACGGGUGAGUAAUAUAUAGUUAAUCUGCCCCAAAGAAGAGAAUAAUUGUUGGAAACGACUUGUAAUGCUCUAUAUGCCUUUAUCACAUAAGUGAGCAAGGGAAACAUUUAUGGCUUUGGGAUGAGACUGUACGGUAUCAGCUAGUUGGUGAGGUAAUGGCUCACCAAGGCUAUGACAUCUAACUGGUUUGAGAGGAUGAUCAGUCACACUGGAACUGAGACACGGUCCAGACUCCUACGGGAGGCAGCAGUGGGGAAUAUUGCACAAUGGAGGAAACUCUGAUGCAGCAACGCCGCGUGGAGGAUGACACAUUUCGGUGCGUAAACUCCUUUUAUUAGGGAAGAUAAUGACG